UUCAAUCAAAUUUCAUGGGUUUAACAACAACAUUUUCAUCAUGCACAUAAUUUAAUCAAAUUUCAUGGUUUUAACAACAAUAUUUUCAUUUAUUCCCACAAUUCAAUCAAAUUUCAUGGGUUUAACAUCAUCAUUUUGAUCAUUCCCACAAUUCAAUCAAAUUUCAAGGGUUUAACAUCAACAUUUUCAUCAUUCCCACAAUUCAAUCAAAUUUCAUGGGUUUAACAUCAACAUUUUCAUCAUUCCCACAAUUCAAUCAAAUUUCAUGGGUUUAACAACAACAUUUUCAUCAUUCACAUAAUUCAAUCAAAUUUCAUGGUUUUAACAACAAUAUUUACAUUUAUUCCCACAAUUCAAUCAAAUUUCAUGGGUAUCAUUUUCAUCAUUCCCUCAAUUCAAUCAAAUUUCGUGGGUUUAACAUCAACAGUUUCAUCAUUCCCACAAUUCAAUCAAAUUUCAUGGGUUUAACAUCAUCAUUUUCAUCAUUCCCUUAAUUCAAUCAAAUUUCAUGGGUUUAUCAUCAUCAUUUUUAUCAUUCCCACAAUUCAAUCAAAUUUCAUGGGUUUAACAUCACACUUUUAUCAUUCCCACAAUUCAAUCAAAUUUUAUGUAUUUAACAAUAACAUUUUCAUUAUUCACAUAAUUCAAUGAAAUUUCAUGGGUUUAACAUCAACAUUUUCAUCAUUCCCACAAUUCAAUCAAAUUUCAUGGGUUUAACAUCAUCAUUUUCAUCAUUCCCACAAUUCAAUCAAAUUUCAUGGGUUUAACAUCAUCCUUUUCAUCAUUCCCACAAUUCAAUCAAAUUUCAUGGGUUUAACAUCACACUUUUAUCAUUCCCACAAUUCAAUAAAAUUUUAUGGUUUUAACAAUAACAUUUUCAUUAUUCACACAAUUCAAUCAAAUUUCAUGGGUUUAACAUCAACAUUUUCAUCAUUCCCUCAAUUCAAUCAAAUUUUAUAGGUUUAACAACAAAAUUUUCAUCAUUCACAUAAUUUAAUCAAAUUUCAUGGUUUUAACAACAAUAUUUUCAUUUAUUCCCACAAUUCAAUCAAAUUUCAUGGGUUUAAC
rnacentral:lncRNA from 1 species